UGCACUUAUACAACUUUGAAAAGCAGAAGUGGAGCCUCCUCCACAACUGACAAGAAUGUAGCAAGUGGUUUCUGAAUGGUAAGUUAAGAACAAAACACUUCUCUUUUCCAUCAGCCAUUUUACAGCACAAGAAUUGGGAA